CUUUUUAUUACAAAAAUAGUGUCUACUCAAAGAUCCUAGUCCUGAAGUACGUUCAAUUGCAAUUAUAGGAACAUGUACUGUUCUCAAUCAGCAUUGGGAAGAUAUUCCAUCUGAAGUAAUCAAAGUAUUAAUACAAAUAUUAAUAACUGAUUUGGCUUUUGAUUCAUCAUCAGCUGAAGUAAGAGCAUCUGUAUUUAAGGGCUUUAAAGUAUUGCUUGAUAAUCCUUUAACUCAUCCUACAUUAAAGACUAUUUUCCCAGCUUUACAAAAUUGCU